rnacentral:tRNA from 1 species
UAAUAAAAGAAUAUUAUUAAUAUUCAUAUUAAGAUUUACAAUCUUAAACCUAUAAAUUCAGCCAUUUUACU